rnacentral:rRNA from 1 species
AUACGGAGGGGGCAAGCGUUGCUCGGAAUUACUGGGCGUAAAGCGAGCGUAGGCGGUUAGUCAAGUUGGUGGUGAAAGCCCAGAGCUCAACUCUGGAACUGCCAUCAAAACUGACUUACUUGAGAUUGGUAGAGGGAAAUGGAAUUCCUAGUGUAGAGGUGAAAUUCGUAGAUAUUGGGAAGAACAUCGGUGGCGAAGGCGAUUUCCUGGGCCAAUUCUGACGCUCAUGGACGAAAGCGUGGGGAGCGAACAGGAUUAGAUACCCUGGUAGUCCACGCCCUAAACGAUGUCAACUAGUUGUUGGUGGAGUAAGAUCCAUGAGUAAGCGAAAGUGA